UUCGAGCGUCAUUAAACACCCUCAAGUCUGACUUGGUAUUAGGCCGUGCUGGUAAACAGCUGGCUUUAAAAUCAGUGGCGGCUCUGCCUGGCUCUAAGCGUAGUAAAUUUUCUCGCUCUUGUGUCCGGUGGUCGCUUGCCAACAACCCAUACUUUUUAAUGUUUGACCUCGGAUCGUGUAGGAGUACCCGCUGAACUUAA
rnacentral:misc_RNA from 1 species